AGCAGCCGCGGUAAUUCCAGCUCCAAUAGCGUAUAUUAAAGUUGUUGCAGUUAAAAAGCUCGUAGUUGAAUUUCGGGAUUGGCGCAUCGGUCGUGCCUCACGGGGUAUGAACUGGUGCAGUCAAUUUCUCACCUUCUGGAGAACCGCGAUGUCCUUAAUUGGAUGCCGCGGGGAACCAGGACCUUUACUUUGAAAAAAUUAGAGUGUUUAAAGCAGGCAUUUUUGCUUAGAAUACAUUAGCAUGGAAUAAUAAAAUAGGACGGCAUGGUUCUAUUUUGUGGUUUCUAGGACCACCGUAAUGAUUAAUAGGGAUAGUUGGGGGCAUUAGUAUUCAAUUGUCAGAGGUGAAAUUCUUGGAUUUAUUGAAGACUAACUACUGCGAAAGCAUUUGCCUAAGGAUGUUUUCAUUAAUCAAGACGAAAGUUAGGGGAUCGAAGACGAUCAGAUACCGUCGUAAGUCUUAAACCAUAAACUAUAGCCGACUAGGAAUCAGACGAUGUUAAUUUUUUAAUGACU
rnacentral:rRNA from 1 species